CCCAGUUGGUGUGCCAUUCACGCAACACUGGAUCUUGUUGACUUUCAGCAAUAUGUGGACACCUCUCCGUCCAAUGCAGUUCUAGUAACCUUGAAAGGGGAAAGCCAUUAAAGGAAUGGCGAUAUCUAGGAACAGCUUGUCCAUUGUUGCCCUUCUAGUGACACUUACUAUUUUGGAAACAGACAACAUCACUGAAUAUUCAAGUCCAGCAUCACUGGUAAACAAUGAACAAGAACAUGUUCCACCUCACACCAAGGAGAAAAGGAAUGUGCUUACAGGCCAAUGGAAUUACAUCAUUGAUGCUGUAGUGAAAGCCCCUAAUGCAGAAACAUUUGAGCGUAUUGUGUCUGCCUUGAAAGCUACAGUUCUUCCCAUACAACUUGAU